rfam:Mesocricetus auratus contig011126, whole genome shotgun sequence.
GGAGAGAUGGCUCAGUGGUUAAGAGCACUGGCUGCUCUUCCAGAGGACCUGGGUUCAAAUCCCAGCACCC